GUGCACUGAUGCUGCUUUGAAUCGCAGCGCCACCAAAUGCCAGGCUAGAACAAGGAGAACAAAGUAUUACACACAGGUCAUCACCAGGAUCAUUAAUGCAACCAAUCAGGAAAACCAGAAAUGGCCAGAAAAAUGAAAUCCUCCCCAUGAGACUCUGAACAGUUACAGUCAUCCUGAAGCAAACUCUACCAUAAUGAACUCACAUCUGGAAGUGACACAAGCUGUUUACCAACCCACAGAAAUAACAUCACAUGAAGCUGGCAAUAUGUGUGAGAAUGCAGUUAACAGCCAUGGACACAGUAUCUUCAGGAAAAAAUACUGUUACGAACAGAGACAAAAUGGAAUCCUGCCUGCUGAUGUUGGUGCACAAGAAGCUGGAAUGGAUCAUAGCCGGAGCAACAAGUCCAAAUUGGCCAACAGAAUAUUCCAUAUGAUAUGAAGUCAUGCUCAAUAUAUAAAGGGGGAGAAGAAGAAGGAAGCAAGGUUAAAAAGAAAGCAGCUGUUUCAGACCAGACCACCAGAGCCACUGUACUUUAUCAGAACUAUGGAAUGACGCUGAGCUUCAAAACCUUCCGUGUUCCUUCCUUCCCAGUCAUAUGGUAGAAAUAAAUAAUUUAAUCAAGUAGUCAUCAGGAGAGGGGAAU